rnacentral:rRNA from 1 species
AGAGUUUGAUCCUGGCUCAGAUUGAACGCUGGCGGCAUGCUUUACACAUGCAAGUCGAACGGCAGCGGGGGCUUCGGCCUGCCGGCGAGUGGCGAACGGGUGAGUAAUGCAUCGGAACGUGCCCAGUCAUGGGGGAUAACUACGCGAAAGCGUAGCUAAUACCGCAUACGCCCUGUGGGGGAAAGCGGGGGAUCGCAAGACCUCGCGUGAUUGGAGCGGCCGAUGUCGGAUUAGCUGGUUGGUGGGGUAAAGGCCUACCAAGGCGACGAUCCGUAGCGGGUCUGAGAGGAUGAUCCGCCACACUGGGACUGAGACACGGCCCAGACUCCUACGGGAGGCAGCAGUGGGGAAUUUUGGACAAUGGGGGCAACCCUGAUCCAGCCAUGCCGCGUGAGUGAAGAAGGCCUUCGGGUUGUAAAGCUCUUUCAGACGGAAAGAAAUCG